rfam:Camelus ferus unplaced genomic scaffold scaffold146, whole genome shotgun sequence.
GAGGGUAUAGCUCAGGGGUAGAGUGCAUGCUUAGCAUGCAUGAGGUCCUAGGUUCGAUCCUUAGUACCUCCA